rnacentral:tRNA from 1 species
UAUAUUUUAGUGUAAGAUGCACAUUAGAUUUUGAUUCUUUUAGUUAUAGUUUGAUUCUAUAAAAUAUAA